rnacentral:rRNA from 1 species
AGCGAACGCUGGCGGCAGGCCUAACACAUGCAAGUCGAGCGCCCCGCAAAGGGAGCGGCAGACGGGAGAGUAACACGUGGGAACGUACCCUUUGGUCCGGAACAACCCAGGGAAACUUGGGCUAAUACCGGAUAAGCCCUUACGGGGAAAGAUUUAUCGCCGAAGGAUCGGCCCGCGUCUGAUUAGCUAGUUGGUGGGGUAACGGCCCACCAAGGCGACGAUCAGUAGCUGGUCUGAGAGGAUGAUCAGCCUCACUGGGACUGAGACACGGCCCAGACUCCUACGGGAGGCAGCAGUGGGGAAUAUUGGACAAUGGGCGCAAGCCUGAUCCAGCCAUGCCGCGUGGGUGAUGAAGGCCCUAGGGUUGUAAAGCCCUUUCGGCGGGGAAGAUAAUGACGGUACCCGCAGAAGAAGCCCCGGCUAACUUCGUGCCAGCCGCCGCAGUAAUAC